CUACGGGAGGCAGCAGUGAGGAAUUUUGCGCAAUGGGGGGAACCCUGACGCAGCAACGCCGUGUGAGUGAAGAAGGCCUUUGGGUCGUAAAGCUCUGUCAACUGGGAAGAAGUUACUAUGCUUAAAUAGAGUGUAGUAUUGACGGUACCAGUGGAGGAAGCGUCGGCUAACUCCGUGCCAGCAGCCGCGGUAACACGGGGGACGCAAGCGUUAUUCGGAAUUAUUGGGCGUAAAGGGCGCGUAGGCGGUCUUGUCGGUCAGGUGUGAAAGCCCGGGGCUCAACCCCGGACGUGCACUUGAAACAGCAAGACUUGAGUACGGGAGAGGAAAGCGGAAUUCCUGGUGUAGAGGUGACAUUCGUAGAUAUCAGGAGGAACACCGAUGGCGAAGGCAGCUUUCUGGACCGAAACUGACGCUGAGGCGCGAAGGCGUGGGUAGCGAACGGGAUUAGAUACCCCAGUAGUC
rnacentral:rRNA from 1 species